GGUUACAAAAAUGGCUGAAAAUUACAAGUUUGUUUAUGUUGUGAUCUUUUUUGUUUCUCUUUUUCUUGUUGUAGUCGACGGUGAAAAAAGGAACGAUAGUGGACAUAGAGAUAAUAAACUCAUUCUCAUAUAUAUUUUCGUUUGUUUAUCUUAUACAUAAUCAUUCUACCAUUUUUAAUUAAUUAUAUGUAUUUAUUUUAUUUUACACUACAGGACAAUGUGCUGAUGACUACGAGUGUUAUCGACUAUUUUCAUGUCCUCGUGAAGUUGCAUUUAAGUGCAUUAAUGGUUGGUGCAAAUGCAUACUCUAGUUAAGGUCAAGCUUAGAUAUGAUACUCGUACUUACAACCACAUUACAUUCCAAGGCACACAUUUAUAUCUCCUAAAGCCAAAUGGAUUGGUCAAAGCGUUUUCCACAUUCCGAUCAUCAUGUGAUUGUACCUUGUGUUGAAUUUGAAGAAAUUAUAAACGUUCAUUCAAAGUCAAUAUUACCACACACACAUAUAGAGGAGGACAUUGUGGAGUAAUAUCAAGGUGUUUGUUCAUCAGAAUAAAGUGGAGUAUUAUUCUCACACGAGUGUUAUGGUGUUCUUGAAUGUUUUUUCGUUUAUAGUUUAGGUUUAAAUUUGAUUGUUAGGAUUUUAUAUUCCUACAUCAUAGUCAUAUUUAAUAAUUCGGUCUUGACCUAUUUUCUUUGAUCUUGAGAAAGAAUUACCUAUGUAUUUUACUAUGAGUAUAAUUAUAAUCCUCUAAGAAGCUAAUAUUUUUAUUUUACAUUUAGAA